rnacentral:rRNA from 1 species
AACGCGAAGAACCUUACCUACCCUUGACAUCCAGAGAAUCCUGCCGAGAAGCGGGAGUGCCGAAAGGAAUUCUGAGACAGGUGCUGCAUGGCUGUCGUCAGCUCGUGUUGUGAGAUGUUGGGUUAAGUCCCGUAACGAGCGCAACCCUUAUCCUUAGUUGCCAGCCUUUAGUUGGGGACUCUAAGGAGACUGCCGGUGAUGAACCGGAGGAAGGCGGGGACGACGUCAAGUCAUCAUGGCCUUUAUGGGUAGGGCUACACACGUGCUACAAUGGCCGGUACAGAGGGCAGCCAACCCGCGAGGGGGAGCUAAUCCCGAAAAGCCGGUCGUAGUCCGGAUCGGAGUCUGCAACUCGACUCCGUGAAGUCGGAAUCGCUAGUAAUCGCGAAUCAGAAUGUCGCGGUGAAUACGUUCCCGGGCCUUGUACACACCGUAGUAC